AACAAACGCUGGCGGCGCGCCUAAUACAUGCAAGUCGAGCGAGAAGACGUAGCAAUACGUUUGUAAAGCGGCGAACGGGUGAGGAAUACAUGGGUAACCUACCCUCGAGUGGGGAAUAACUAGCCGAAAGGUUAGCUAAUACCGCGUACGCUCCUUGGACUUCGGUUCAGGGAGGAAAGCGAUACCGUGGGUAUCGCGCUCUUGGAUGGGCUCAUGUCCUAUCAGCUU
rnacentral:rRNA from 1 species